CGUGCCGUGCCGAGCCGGUGGAAACACGCCAAAAGUGAAUCCAACCUCUAGUCUUUCAUUGGGUUUAUUGUAAGACUUGAUAAGACUCCUGGCUCUCAAACAAUGUGAUGUGUCUCGUGAGGAUUAUUUAUUGUUAUUUAUGUCAUGUUCAUGUGUGUCUUUACUCUGUUGGCUAUCAUGAGCUGAAAGCCACAACACAAUAUUAUCACAACCUUUAAGCCACAAUACGAUACUUCAGAAUCAGAUUCAGAAUACUUUAUUGAUCCCCGAGGGGAAAUUCUUGAAACGAUAUGAUAUUUAAGUCCCAAUAUGAUAUUAUCGCGACCUUCAAACCACGAUGCGAUAUUGUCACGACAUUUAAGUCACGGUACGAUAUUGCAAAACACUGAGUAUUUGAGAAAUCCUAUAUUGCCAUAUGCUCACGAAGAAUCAAACCACCUGCCUGAACGGUGUCACAAACACAGUUCCCCCCUCUUCCUCUCUAGGCUUCUCCUCUUCAUCUUCACCAGGAGAUGGCACUACAAACAAACACUGAUGUCUGGGAGGCUUCUGCAACAUACUGUCACUAAAAAGCCCGAGAGGAGAAGGUGGCGGUGAAGUUCUGAAUGGGGUCAGGUGAUCCUCAGCUCAGCAACCUGAUCACGGCCGGCGGUGCACUCUACUGCACCAGUGGACAGAGACUGUGACGGACCUCAGUGACCAGAAUAACUGAGCACAGACGGCGGGAGUUGAUAAAGCUGUCAGUGAAGAAACAAACAAACAGGGGGGACGUCCGGGCAGUCAGUCAGUCAGUCAGUCAGUCAGUCAAACUCUCCUCCAGUCACACUCACUGAUGUAUGACAGAAACGACAAUGCUCGGCAUUAUUAUCACGACACGAGAGAGAGCUGAGGAGACGGUCAUAAGGUCGAGACGUGAUAUCACAUGAGAGUGUGUGUACAAGUGCAAAGAACGUGUGGAAUCGAUGUUCCCUCAUGAAACAGCCUGUUGCACGUGUGAAUUUGUGAAAAGAAGAAAGAAAAUAAAAAAAAACCCACAUUUCUAUAUCGUCCCUGUGGCAACAACAGGGACUGUUUUUAUACGACUUGACCACUGACACUUCUACAGGAGAUGUAAAAUACUAAUACUACAAACAUUCUGAGUGUAUUUUCCAAGAUAUUCACAAGUCUUUAUUGUAUUUAUAGUACCUCUGUAGCGUCGCCACGACUUUACAGAGGUAGAAAAUGAAGAGAAUAAAGAGAAAGAAUGUUCAAAACAGAAUGAUAUAGGAAAUGGGUUCCCAAAGUAAAAAAGUUAGUUUGUUUACAUGCUAAACAAAUAUUCAUUCCACAUUUCAACAAAACACUCCUAAACAUGUACUACUACUACUUCCUCAUCAGCAGGAACAUUACUACAUCAAAGUUUGGACGAUUCCUAAAUAUUCAGUGAUAAAAACUGGACAACAACAA